UACGAAGGGUGCAAGCGUUAAUCGGAAUUACUGGGCGUAAAGCGUGCGUAGGCGGUUUGUUAAGUCUGUUGUGAAAUCCCCGGGCUCAACCUGGGAAUGGCAAUGGAUACUGGCAGGCUAGAGUGUGUCAGAGGAUGGUGGAAUUCCCGGUGUAGCGGUGAAAUGCGUAGAGAUCGGGAGGAACAUCAGUGGCGAAGGCGGCCAUCUGGGACAACACUGACGCUGAGGCACGAAAGCGUGGGGGGCAAACAGG
rnacentral:rRNA from 1 species